UCGAGGAGGAGAGUAAUCCUCCUCGACAUCGUCUUCAAAAAUUCACGCUCAGCGUGUUCAUCUUGUUCAAUGAAAGGAGGAAUUCUGUUUUGUGGUCUUGUCCCCCGUCUCUUUUUAUUAUUUCUUCUUCGCCCCUUUCUUCCAGUGGGAGGCCUGUUUGGGCCUGCAACCAUCUCGUGACGUUCAGUGUUACUGGGAAAUCUAUCUGGACUUCUCACCAGUCUGGACUCUUCUUCAUGGUAUGCAUCAAAUCUCUGAGGCCUGGGUCCUCUAGCUGUAUUUCUGAAUUCCCUAAUGUUACGACCAUUUCUGUGAUCAAACAUUUGAGAAUUUCUGACUUUAUUUCUUCCCCUUUCUUUAGGAGUGAACUCUGUCUCGUCUGCACGAAAAUGUGCCUUUGGAUUUAGAGGAAAAUAAUGUCUGUUUGUUCCAUUCUGAGCUGGAGAGCUGCUGGAGAGUCUGAGUCUGUAGCGUGGAGUGCUUCUUUGUCUCACACGAGGGAGUCGUGGCCUAAUGGUUAGAGAGUCGGACUCCCAAUCGAAGGGUUGUGAGUUCGAGUCUCGGGCCGGCAGGAAUUGUGGGUGGGGGGAGUGCAUGUACAGUUCUCUCUCCACCUUCAAUACCACGACUUAGGUGCCCUUGAGCAAGGCAUCGAACCCCCAACUGCUCCCCGGGCGCCGCAGCAUAAAAUGGCUGCCCACUGCUCCGGGUGUGUGUUCACAGUGUGUGUGUGUGUUCACUGCUCUGUGUGUGUGCACUUCGGAUGGGUUAAAUGCAGAGCACUAAUUCUGAGUAUGGGUCACAAUCACUAAUCACUAAGGUUGUGCUUGAUCGUGAUGAUGUGAAAAUAUUUUUGUAUCCGUGUUGUAUAUGGUGUUAUUAAUUUUUAAAGGGCUCCACUCAUGCCGACGAUAUCAUAUGACGUCAUGACCCUCGUUCGUCGUGUGGAAUGUUGUUUUUUUCACAGAAAUCUUAGUCCUUUAUACAGGAAAAUGAAGAUAAUAUGAAUUGAACAAAAGAAGAGCACUUAUAAUUCCUUUAUCAGUACAUAUACUACUCAAAAAACAGUGUGGAAAACAUUUAAAAACUGUAAAUCAUGUGAAAAGAAUUAAAUAAAUAAAUUAUAUGUAAAAGAGAAUCUCUGUAGUAUUUUUUAUGUUAAGUAGUGAUCAAAUCUGUAAAAUAUUGUAAUGUAAGAGUCCAAUAUGAGUGUCCA
rnacentral:lncRNA from 1 species